rnacentral:rRNA from 1 species
UGGGGAAUAUUGGACAAUGGGCGAAAGCCUGAUCCAGCCAUGCCGCGUGUGUGAAGAAGGUCUUCGGAUUGUAAAGCACUUUAAGUUGGGAGGAAGGGCAGUAAGCGAAUACCUUGCUGUUUUGACGUUACCGACAGAAUAAGCACCGGCUAACUCUGUGCCAGCAGCCGCGGUAAUACAGAGGGUGCAAGCGUUAAUCGGAAUUACUGGGCGUAAAGCGCGCGUAGGUGGUUCGUUAAGUUGAAUGUGAAAGCCCCGGGCUCAACCUGGGAAAUGCAUCCAAAACUGGCGAGCUAGAGUAGGGCAGAGGGUGGUGGAAUUUCCUGUGUAGCGGAGAAAUGCGUAGAUAUAGGAAGGAACACCAGUGGCGAAGGCGACCACCUGGGCUCAUACUGACACUGAGGUGCGAAAGCGUGGGGAGCAAACAGG